GACGAACGCUGGCGGCGUGCUUAACACAUGCAAGUCGAACGGAAAGGCCCUGCUUUUGUGGGGUGCUCGAGUGGCGAACGGGUGAGUAACACGUGAGUAACCUGCCCUUGACUUUGGGAUAACUUCAGGAAACUGGGGCUAAUACCGGAUAGGAGCUCCUGCUGCAUGGUGGGGGUUGGAAAGUUUCGGCGGUUGGGGAUGGAUUCGCGGCUUAUCAGCUUGUUGGUGGGGUAGUGGCUUACCAAGGCUUUGACGGGUAGCCGGCCUGAGAGGGUGACCGGCCACAUUGGGACUGCGAUACGGCCCAGACUCCUACGGGAGGCAGCAGUGGGGAAUAUUGCACAAUGGGCGGAAGCCUGAUGCAGCAACGCCGCGUGCGGGAUGACGGCCUUCGGGUUGUAAACCGCUUUCGCCUGUGACGAAGCGUGAGUGACGGUAAUGGGUAAAGAAGCACCGGCUAACUACGUG
rnacentral:rRNA from 1 species